CAUUGUGUAGCUCCGGCAAUCAUAUAAACUGGAAAAUACAGUGUGAAUUCUGCAGAUGCUGGAAAUUCAAGCAACAUACAUCAAAGUUGCUGGUGAACGCAGCAGGCCAAGCAGCAUCUAUAGGAAGAGGCGCAGUCGACGUUUCAGGCCGAGACCCUUCGUCAGGACUAACUGAAGGAAGACUACAGGUUUGCAUCUUGGAGAAGAAACUAUUAAUGUCUCCAUUGAUCUCAUGUUAUCCAUGGCCGACAUGAAAAAUAAUACUUCGCCUGCUUCUUUUAAUUUCUCUAAGCCUUUUUGCUUCUCCCUGGAACAUAGUGGGAUAAUUUUCAAACCCAUGCUGUUUUUUCUAUGGAAGGAAGGAUCAAGAUGGGUCCUUUGUAAAGUGUUCAUCUGGAGUCAGAAGCCAACACAGUUCUCACCAAGCAAACUGAAAUGUGGGGUUUUGGGUGGAGUUGAUUUUAACCUAACCCACAAGAUGGAAAAUUAAAG